UACAGAGGUCUCAAGCGUUGUUCGGAUUCAUUGGGCGUAAAGGGUGUGUAGGUGGCGCGGUAAGUCGGGUGUGAAAUCUCGGAGCUUAACUCCGAAACUGCAUUCGAUACUGCCGUGCUUGAGGACUGGAGAGGAGACUGGAAUUUACGGUGUAGCGGUGAAAUGCGUAGAUAUCGUAAGGAAGACCAGUGGCGAAGGCGGGUCUCUGGACAGUUCCUGACGCUGAGGCACGAAGGCCAGGGGGAGCAAACGGG
rnacentral:rRNA from 1 species